CACAAUCUCAGCUGUGAAAUGGAAACUCUCCUCUUUGGGGCUGGAAAUAUAGGAGUUAUGGUUGUGGGAAAGAUUUUCCUGUCAACUGUUUCGUGCAAAGACUCCCCACUUCUGGAUACACACACAUUUCUCUUGCUUCUCUCUGGUUUCAUCCUUAGCAUCACAUCAUAAAGCCAAGUGGUCUUUUGAGUGAAAGGAUUUUGAAUGAGACGAACAAUUCAAACCCCAAAGACUUGAAAAAGCUUUAGACACUACAGACCAAUUUGCGCAGCUGCUUUGUAUCAUCCACCAGAUGGAACUGAGGAGUCAGAAAAACCAGCACACUUUAUUCCCUGUAGAAGAACAGACAGGACUGAUUUUUUUUUCUGUAUCAGGAGCGACUUGAGAAACUGCAAGUUGCUUCUGCUGUGACAAUUGGCCGUCUGCAAGGACAUUGCCCAGGGAAUGCCCGGAUGUUUGACCAUCCUGUGGAAGGCUUCUCUCGUGUCCUCGGUUGUGUCAACUCCUCUGGCUGCCAGUUUGCUACUGAGCACAAUUCAAAGUGCAGGCGUUAGCCUAUAAAGCCCUAAAUGGUUCCAGCCCAGCUUACCUGUCCGAAUGAACAGGAAGACACUGGUGAUUCGAUGUUCUUAAUGUUUUUUAAAUGGAUUUGUAUAAUAUUGUGCUAAAUGUUUUAAAUUGUAUUUUAUGACUGUUGUGGCAUCAAAUUGCUGCCAAUUUGAAAGCUGCCUUGAGUCGCCUUUGGGCUGAGAAAGACCAGAUAGAAAUACCAUAAAUAUAAUGUAUAUAUGCAUGCCCCUGCUUGAAAAGCUGGAGCUGACAGAUGGGAGCUCAACCUGCUCCCCAGAUUCGAACCACUGAUCAUGGGGCAGGGGUUCCAGGCAGGACUGAUGGGAGACUACAAAAAUUAAGAAGACUUUUGUUUUCCCUCUGCAAAAUUCCUGCCAAGAUGGAGGCAGAGAAGAGAGAAAUCCAAACUUUCUGAAGUGGUCUCAGGGACCAACCCCCUGCAUCAUUCCAGGCAACUCUUGUCAACCCAUUUUUAAAGAAAGGAAGCAACUAACACAUCAUUUUCAAUUUUUAUUUCUCUUUGAUCAAAGUGGAAGUCACAAAAAAUAUCAUUAACCCCAUGAAGACAUGAUGUCCAGAUCACCCUCAUCUCACAGAAUCAGCACACAGUUACGGACUUGUAAAAGCUACUUCUAGUAAUGCUGGAUUUUCUUAUAUCGCUGACAGGGCUAAACAUUUGUAAAAAGACAGUCUGCUUCUCUAGAACUCUAAAAAAAAGUACUCUUGUUUGUACUUAACACACACAGACGAACCUUUGGAACAUAAACAAAUAUUGUAGCAUGAUGCUUCUUCAUAUCAAAAAUACCAGUGUCUCUGCUGAACAUACAAAUGGAACGCUUAGCAACUACGCUGUUCAUACAGUGGGAUCAUAAAUUGAGGAGAACUUUUACACCUGCAUUACAUUACUCCUAUCCUUAAAGGAGCAUAUGACAACAUGAAUGCAAACACAAUACACUGAGAUAGUCAUUUUGGUGCUUAAGAUGUGCUGAUUGCAGAGACAUCUGUUUGAAAUAACCCAUACAUUCUAUAAAGAUAUGUAAACAGUUCAGGUACGGCAGAUUAUUCCCCACAAAAAGAAAAUAUAAAAUAAAGAUAAA